rnacentral:tRNA from 1 species
GGGUGCGUCGCAUAGCGGCAAUUGCUCGUGGCUGUAAACCACGCGUCCUCUGGACUACGCAGGUUCGAGUCCUGCCGCACCCA